CCCAGAACUUGCCAGUCAAGAUGAAAAACUUCUUCUAAUGUAAUCCAGCUUGAAAGCUACUCAAGAGCAGCUAACUGAGCAAAUAGCAGAAACAGUUCGCCAAGAACAGAACAGUAGAAAACCCCAGGCAGAGCUGAAGACAGUGACAGAAGGGAUUAUUGCUUCUGAAGAAGAAAAAAAUGAUUACAAAAUUGCCUAUUUUACCGUCUGUUACAGCUUCAUUGUAGGAGGUGUGAAAGAGGAGGGAAAUUGUGUUGGUAAGUACUUUGAAGCCAGAAUGAAAUAUUUGGCCAAGUUUCUAAGGAUUGAAAGUAUUUCAAAGGAAAUCUUACUUCCAUGUCCAAAAAAUAAAAUAAGAAGAAUGUUACUCACUGAAGUACAGUCAGUAAGCUCAGAAGCCAGAACGUUUUCCCUCCUCUAACUCCCUGUCUUAGAGUGCCCCGACAGAAAGCACUGGAUAUGAAAAACUCAUUUUCAAAAACUUCUCCUAAAGGUCAUGUGAUGAAGAACCAGAAGACUUAAAACAUGAAAAAAACAAAAAAUAAGAUCUGUGUUGGAGAGACAAUGAAGGCUAUGAGAUCAAUUAUGAAAUAAGAGAGUGGUGGCAGAAAAGGUAGAGGAAGGGAAGAAUUUAAGCACAAUUUAAGAAAAAAAAAAUGUGUAGAUAGUGUGUGAGCAAAAAGGAAAAAACUAAGCAAGUGAACCUUAUUGUAAUAAGAUAUUUAACCCAAAGUAUCAAAAGCUGGUUAUUUUAAAACAUAACCAACAUAAAAAUUAUAAAUGAGACAUUGAAAUCUUUUAGACUAAAUCUUUAAAAUCUGGUGUAUAUUUUAUACUUAUAGCACAUCUCAAUUUGGACUAGCCAAAUUUAAGUGCUCAGUGGCCAGGGCAAUUCUGCACAGGAGUUGGCCAAACUUGGUUCACAGGUUCACUGGCCAAGUCCAGCCCAAUACCUGUUUUGGUAUGGCUUGGAAGCUAAGAAGAAUUUUUACGUUUUUAAGUGGUUGAAACAAUCAUAAUAGGAAUAGUGUUUAUCGACACCUGGUAAUUACAUGAAAUUUAAUUUUUUGUAUCUGUAAAUAAAGAUUUCUUGGGGCAUAGCCAUGAUCAUUUAUUUACAUAUUUUCUGUGCCAAAUUUCUUGCUAAAAACAAGAGAGCUAAUUAGUUUUGGGAAACUCUAUGACCCAGAAAAGUAUUUACUCUCUGGCUCCAUACAAAAAAAGUUUCUGACCUCUCCUCUGUAGGGCUAGCUCUCCAAGGACCUUGACCGCAUUUUUGCCAUCCUUGUUAGCCUUCAGAACAUGGCCGACACCAAUGGAACUCAAUAAUUUCAGAACAUAAUAUAUUUUAUAAAUUCAAUUGAACAAGCAUUUUUUGAAAACAAAAAUGCAAUCCUAAAAUACACACUCUUUAUCUAGAUAUCUUAUCUUAAGAUUCUCCUAGUCAUAGACACUAUGUCACCAGAACAGAAAGGUGAUAAAAUAUAUAAAUAUUUAAGACCAUAGGAUUCUCAAUUCAGAUAGACCUGGGUCCAUGUUCCAGCUUUGUCCCAUCUUUAAAACUGGAUAAUUCUAAGCCCCUCUAACCGUUACUCCAUUUUAAAGUAUGUAAAAUGGAGCAAAAUACUGCUUAUUUCACAAAGAUUUUGCAUCAAUUAAAUAAUGUAUGUAAUUUAGUAUAGUGACUGAAGUCAGCCAAUAUUUUAAUGUUAGAUAUUUCUACUACAUAUAUACAAAGUUUUUAACUUAAUUUAUUCCUUUCAGCUGUUUUAGUCACUUCUUUUGAAGGAUGUGAUACAUUAAUUAAUAUGCUUUAUAAAGCUGUCUUUUGAGUAUUUGUUCAUUUUGACAAAUCUUAGCACAGCUAUAUAAGUUAGUUGAAAAUAUUUUGGACACCAAAACACAUUACUAGAACAUUAUAAUUGCAUGAGGCUUAUAAGUAAAUGCACAUACAUACACUAUUUACAUGGAAAUGAAGAAAAUAUUCAAAGAAAAAAAGGUAUUCAUGUAUAAGGGACAUAUUUAUGUCUAAGAAAUAUCACUUAGAAAGCUGUAAGUAUUUUGAGAAUUAUAAGCACACAUGUUUAAGUAAUAUACUAUACAACUUUACCCUAUGCCCAUAAAAUAUUUUUUAACCACAACUUUAAUAUUAAUAAUUUAAAUAAUUUAAAAUUAAUAAUUUAAUAAGUAAAUAUUUUAAAUGAAUAAUGUUAAAUUAAGGAUGUUUAAAUGUUAUAUUACAUUAUUAUAUUUAAUAUUAUGAUAAUACUCAAAUCACAAUGCUCCAUUUAUUUCUCUUGUUGAAAUGUUAACAUUACGGAAAAUAAUUCUUUGGACAGUCAUGUUUAAUUUAGGUUUUAUGACUCCUCAGAGUGAAGAGAGGAAGAGUGUUGUAAUUUUCGGGACAUGGAGAAUCAUUUGCUAUGGUAAACUGGAUAAAUGCUCGUGCUACCUCAUGGGAGUAGAUAGAAAAGAGUAGCUGGAUCUAUUCUGCUGAGAUGCCAAGGUCUCCAUAUUCUUUCAAAAUCAAUGGCCUUAGAGGGAUCAUGAAUUGCUGAGGUAGAACAAUCCUUGCUCCUCUUUAUCUCUCAUCUACUGCCUUUGAAAUCAACUGGAGCUGCGUACUUGGAAGCAGCACAAAGGGUUAGGCUGGAAAUAAAAAUAUGGCCUAGGAUUUGUGAUGCUCAAGUGAUUCAGACUCAUUUCUCCAAUAGCUGUGGUUUUGAAAUAUGCUAGACUUAUUGCUGAUAUAUUACAGUUCAUAGUGUUCUAAUUCAUUUUGCAGAAGUAAUCCUGCCCAGCUUGACCAUUACUCUUUAAAGUAGAGCUUACACUUUGGUUCCAUUUGAAAUAACUCAUUGUUAAGUUCAUAAUACCUGAUUUUAUCAAAUUAUGCAGAUACAAAAGGUGUCCAUGCCUAUUUUGUGGACAAAAACAAAGUAAGUAAAAACUCCCAUGAUAAGUAAUGCUUAUGUGUGAUAUAAAAUGUACCUCCAAUCUGCCGAAGCUUUCUCUUCCUUCACUGAUGUGGUUUUCGUAAUUCCACAUAUUUCUUUCCUGACUAAUUAAAAAUGAGGAUAAUAAAGUCCCUUAGCUUCUUUACUUAGCAUAUAACAAAGUACACUUAUUCUUUGGUAUGUAUAAAAUCGAUAUUUAAAAAAUCAUAUUCUUAGUCUCUAUUCAAUUUUGUGGAUUCACUGCACAUGUUAGACUUUUAUCUCUUAGAGCAGGGUCUGUAUUUACUUAAUCUGUUUCAUAUUACUAUAUAUUAAUUUUGUCUUACAUUCAUAGGCUGUUUAUCAUCAGUUAUGAGAAUUUUGUUUCUACCUUUUCAGAAAAACCCAUAAUAUGUGUUAUAUACUGUGGGAAAAAUAUGUAAUAAAUCUAAAAAUAAUUACCACUUUGUAGUAUUUCACAGUGAAAUGUUAUUUGAUUAUUACUGAAAUUAUGCUGAUAUUAAU
ensembl:lncRNA